rnacentral:lncRNA from 1 species
GGCAGGGCGCGGUGGCUCACGCCUGUAAUCCCAGCUGUCAGGGAGGCAGAGGCCGGAGGAUAGCUUGAGCCCAGGAGUUUGAGACCUGCCUGGGCAAUAUAGCGAGACCCCGUUCUCCACAAAAAAAAAAAAGACAAAACAAAAAAAUUCGUGGUUGGUUGAAUCUAUGGAUACAAAACCCAUCCAUAGAUACCGAGAGCUGACUAUAAACAUGAGUUCAGGCUGAUAUAAAUACAUUAAUGAAUAAAAAUUAUUAUUUUAUUUUAUUUUAUUUUAUUUUAUUUUUUGAGACUAGGUCUUACUCUGUCACCCAGGUGGCACAAUCUCAGCUCACUGCAACCUCAGCCUCCUGGGCUCAAGUAAUUCUCCAGCCUCCUGUGUAGCCAGGACUACAGGCACAAGCCACCAAUGCCCAGCUAAUUUUUGUACUUUUUAAAAUAGAGGCAGGGGUCUCGCCAUGUUGCCCAGGCUGGUGAAACCCCUUCUCUACUAAAAACAUAAAAAAAUAGCCUGUGUGAUGCAUGCCUGCAGUCCCAGCUACUUCAGAGGCUGAGGCAAGAGGACUGUUUGAGCCCCGGAGGUGGAGGUUGCAAUGAGCUGAGAUCAGGCCACUGCACUCCAGCCUGGGUGACAGAACAAGACCUUGUCUGAAUUUUAAAAUAAUAACAGUAAUAAUGUCUGUAAAUACUCCCUUUUCCAGGAAAUGAACUUAAUUCCCUCCCAAUUCCCUUUCUACCUUUUUG